UAGUCAUAUGCUUGUCUCAAAGAUUAAGCCAUGCAUGUCUAAGUAUAAGCAAUUAUACCGUGAAACUGCGAAUGGCUCAUUAAAUCAGUUAUCGUUUAUUUGAUAAUACCUUACUACUUGGAUAACCGUGGUAAUUCUAGAGCUAAUACAUGCUGAAAAUCCCGACUUCGGAAGGGAUGUGUUUAUUAGAUAAAAAACCAAUGCCCUUCGGGGCUUUUUGGUGAUUCAUGAUAACUUAACGGAUCGCAUAGCCUUGCGCUGGCGACGGUUCAUUCAAAUUUCUGCCCUAUCAACUUUCGAUGGUAAGGUAUUGGCUUACCAUGGUUUCAACGGGUAACGGGGAAUUAGGGUUCGAUUCCGGAGAGGGAGCCUGAGAAACGGCUACCACAUCCAAGGAAGGCAGCAGGCGCGCAAAUUACCCAAUCCCGACACGGGGAGGUAGUGACAAUAAAUACUGAUACAGGGCUCUUUUGGGUCUUGUAAUUGGAAUGAGUACAAUUUAAACCUCUUAACGAGGAACAAUU
rnacentral:rRNA from 1 species